CUAAAAGUGACAAUUCAUCAACUUCACAGAUCAAGAUGGAUCAGUGCUUGUAAUGAAGCCGCCGGCUACGAUCGAACAUUCUCCAGUGGAUGCAAGUCCGUUAGGACUAUUUUAUACUUUAUGUUGUAAAUGCCUCUCGGCAUAGUACUCAGACAAUAUUGCUCUUUGUAUGAUAGGAGGCCGAUUCAAAUCUUGGAUGGGUCAUCUGAAACGACUGUGAUGUGCUCAGCAUCUCCAGCAUUAUAGCCCAGAUAAAACUACCAUUUGAAAAAAACGGAGGGCUACGCAAUAGUCUGGAGUGAACUGAGGCCAGGUCCUCGAUUGGUAGUGUUGGCUAUGCAAGGCUAUUUAAAUAUAAAGAUUUGCGUGAGAAUCUAUAUCUCUCCACUCCAGCAAAAAGUCAUCCAAUAUGCCAAGAUGACGAGCCGUGGUCUUAUCAAUCGCUCCCGGUGGAUUGCACGUAUAAUUUGCGCUCUGAUAUCAGCAGUUCUCUCAUCAAAAGGGCAUGCCAUUGUGAACACAUGAAAUCUGCGGUGAACGCCGGUUGAAAUACCCAAAACCGGGUUAUGUUUCAAACUUAACCUGCGCAAAACCUGCUCCGACCAGGUUUGAUUCAGAGCAUAUGUUGCUAUAGCAACUAACAUACCGUGAUCCUUUUGGAACGGAAAACCUAGGGUUACAGCAAACCCUGGGUUAACUUACCCGGUUAUGUGAUAAAACCGGCUUUGUGGAACACCCCACAGGACAACAGGCCAGGGCAGGCCCCCCUUAAUGAAGGGAGGUUAAGAUAGGGGAAAGACGAGCAGCUAACAAGACAAUACCACAACAUGACAACACCACAACACCACAACAGGACAACAGGACAACAGGACAACAGGCCAGGGCAGGUCCCCCUUAAUGAAGGGAGGUUAAGAUAAGGGGGCAGACGAGCAGCUCACCUUUGGCAGGAGCGUCACCAGGGUCAGAGGUCGCUGAUGGGGUGGAGGAAGAGGACGG
ensembl:lncRNA